rnacentral:rRNA from 1 species
GACGAACGCUGGCGGCGUGCUUAACACAUGCAAGUCGAACGGAAAGGCCCCUUUGGGGGUACUCGAGUGGCGAACGGGUGAGUAACACGUGAGUAACCUGCCCUUGACUUCGGGAUAACUUCAGGAAACUGGGGCUAAUACCGGAUAGGAAUCCUUGCUGCAUGGUGGGGGUUGGAAAGCUUCGGCGGUUUUGGAUGGACUCGCGGCUUAUCAGCUUGUUGGUGGGGUAGUGGCUUACCAAGGCUUUGACGGGUAGCCGGCCUGAGAGGGCGACCGGCCACAUUGGGACUGAGAUACGGCCCAGACUCCUACGGGAGGCAGCAGUGGGGAAUAUUGCACAAUGGGCGGAGGCCUGAUGCAGCAACGCCGCGUGCGGGAUGACGGCCUUCGGGUUGUAAACCGCUUUCAGCAGGGGCGAAGCUUGUGGUGACGGUACCUGCAGAAGAAGCACCGGCUAACUACGUG